UACAGAGGUCUCGAGCGUUAGGCGGAAUCACUGGGCUUAAAGCGUGUGUAGGCGGAUCGGUAAGUACCUUGUGAAAUCCCACAGCUUAACUGUGGAACUGCUUGGUAUACUGCCAGUCUUGAGCCAGCUAGGGGCUACCGGAACAAAUGGUGAAGCGGUGAAAUGCGUAGAUAUCAUUUGGAACGCCAAUGGUGAAAACAGGUAGCUGGGGCUGUGCUGACGCUGAGACACGAAAGCCAGGGGAGCGAACGGG
rnacentral:rRNA from 1 species